AAAAUAGUUACUUCAUGUUUUGCCGAAAUGAAUCGUAUCACUGAAUAUGUCGUGUGGCUCUAAUUCUAAAACCUCUAGGUUCCUCAAGCUAUCAAGGACCAAUACUACCUGUAAGAAAAAUCGUGGAAAAAUAUGAGUUUAUAGCUCAGUGAGUGGAAGAGUUCGAAAAUAAUUAUACUUUCUCAUUUAAAUAUUUUUCUCAUACAUAGACAUCAAGUUCAUGUUGUUUAGUAAUCCACACGAUUGCCUCAUACAAUUAUAGUAAAAAAUGAGACAUUCUCAUAACUCUCUAAAUAUCAUCUCAUAUUUACGACUUAGUUAUCAGCUGAUAUCUAUACCAUCAUCUCAUCACAUCGCAUGUGAUCCAAAAAAAAUGUACCCUCUGACUAAAAUUUGAAAUUCGCCCCUCAGGCCAAACACUUUCGCCAUGGGCCUUUGGCCCCCUCCGUGCACGAAAGUGGGUCUUAAAGACCACUGAUAAUCAAUUUUAGAACACGAUCAAAACCUUUCGGUGAACUAUAUGUACACAGUUACGACAUCUUCAUCCCCAGUCGACCCCUCCAUGUAGUAUAGAAUACGGUCAAGAUCCCUAUGUGACUUAGAAGAAGCAUAUAAACUUGGGUACUUUUCUGGUCGAUCUCAAUAUCACGUCUCAUAUUCCAAUUCACAAAUGUACUAUAUAUAAUCUUUGAAAUUUCACAUGUAUCAUAAUAAAAGAAACUUCCAUGGUAAUCACAUUAUUGAACAUAUAAUUCAUAUACACGAUUUAAUCCAAUAACUAGACUCCAAUAUUUAUCAUUUAGUUUCAUUCAAAUUUAUAAAAUCUGAGAAAUUAAAAGUCUGACAAAAACAGCGCUAAAAUCCCCGACUAUUGAAAUCUGGCACCAAUUUCUUUGUAUUGAAAAGUGUGACCGAAUCUAUUGACUGAAAUAGCACUUUCUGGGAUUAAUUUAAGAAAUAGCACCUACACAUGACUUUUGCACGAAAAUUAAUUAUAAAUAUCAAAAUCUAACCCGAAAUCAUUUUACCACUCUAAUACCUCAUAAAUCAAGUGUUUUAUAUCAUACAAACACAAUAAAUUAAAGAUUGAAACUCUAAUUUACAAACCUAUUUCACCUUUCAUUUCUUUCAACACUAGUAUUAUUAUUUUUGUUUCAUAACUCAAAUAUAUAUCAAUAAUUAUUAAUUUUUGCUAAACCUUAAAUUUGAGAAAUUUUUCCAUAAACUCAAAAGUAUAAUUCAACAGUUUUACACUUACCUCUAAAUCAAUGGAAAGGUUGGAGAAAUGGAGAAUCAAAGCUUAAAAACCUACAUUUCUCUUUCACUUCUUCGUUUCGUUCCCCCCUCAAAUGGAGAAUCAAAGCUUAAAAACCUAUAUGAUAUACAAGUGUGUGUAUAUAAUUAUAUAAUAAAU
rnacentral:lncRNA from 1 species